CAGGAUGAACGCUGGCGGCGUGCUUAACACAUGCAAGUCGAACGGUGAAGCCAAGCUUGCUUGGUGGAUCAGUGGCGAACGGGUGAGUAACACGUGAGCAACCUGCCCUGGACUCUGGGAUAAGCGCUGGAAACGGUGUCUAAUACUGGAUAUGAGCCUCUAUCGCAUGGUGGGGGUUGGAAAGAUUUUUCGGUCUGGGAUGGGCUCGCGGCCUAUCAGCUUGUUGGUGAGGUAAUGGCUCACCAAGGCGUCGACGGGUAGCCGGCCUGAGAGGGUGACCGGCCACACUGGGACUGAGACACGGCCCAGACUCCUACGGGAGGCAGCAGUGGGGAAUAUUGCACAAUGGGCGGAAGCCUGAUGCAGCAACGCCGCGUGAGGGAUGACGGCCUUCGGGUUGUAAACCUCUUUUAGCAGGGAAGAAGCGAAAGUGACGGUACCUGCAGAAAAAGCGCCGGCUAACUACGUGCCAG
rnacentral:rRNA from 1 species